rnacentral:rRNA from 1 species
AUACGGAGGGUGCAAGCGUUACUCGGAAUCACUGGGCGUAAAGCGCGCGCAGGCGGCCAUUUAAGUUGGAUGUGAAAGCCUACGGCUUAACCGUAGAACUGCAUCCAAAACUAUUUGGCUAGAGUGUGGGAGAGGAAGAUGGAAUUAGUUGUGUAGGGGUAAAAUCCGUAGAGAUAACUAGGAAUACCAAAAGCGAAGGCAAUCUUCUGGAACACUACUGACGCUGAGGCGCGAAAGCGUGGGGAGCAAACGGGAUUAGAAACCCCAGUAGUCC